rnacentral:rRNA from 1 species
UACAGAGGGUGCGAGCGUUGUCCGGAAUCACUGGGCGUAAAGGGCGCGUAGGCGGCUUGGUAAGUAGGGGGUGAAAUCUCAUGGCUCAACUGUGAGGCUGCCUUCUAGACUGCUAGGCUCGAGCACAGUAGAGGCGAGUGGAAUUCCCGGUGUAGCGGUGGAAUGCGUAGAGAUCGGGAAGAACAUCGGUGGCGAAGGGGGCUCGCUGGGCUGUUGUUGACGAUGAGGCGCGAAAGCGUGGGGAGCAAACAGG